GACGAACGCUGGCGGCGUGCUUAACACAUGCAAGUCGAACGGAAAGGCCCUGCUUUUGUGGGGUUCUCGAGUGGCGAACGGGUGAGUAUCACGUGAGUAACCUGCCCUUGUCUUUGGGAUAACUUCAGGAAACUGGGGCUAAUACCGGAUAUGAGCUCCUGCUGCAUGGUGGUGGUUGGAAAGUUUCGGCUGUUGGGGAUGUACUCGCGGCUUAUCAGCUUGUUGGUGGGGUAGUGGCUUACCAAGGCUUUGACGGGUAGCCGGCCUGAGAGGGUGACCGGGGACAAUGGGACUGAGAGAGGGAGCAGAAUCGUACGGGAGGCAGCAGUGGAGAAUAUUGCAGAGUGGGCGGAAGCCUGAGGCAGAAACGCCGCGUGCGGGAUGACGGCCUUCGGGUUGUAAACCGAUUUGGCAUGUGAUGAAGCGUGAGUGACGGUAAUGGGUAAAGAAGCACCGGCUAACUACGUG
rnacentral:rRNA from 1 species